CGCCCGCCGGCGACCGGCGCACGGGUGAGUAACACGUAUGCAACCUGGCCGCCACAGGGGGAUAACCCGCGGAAACGCGGCCUAAUACCCCGUGACGCCACCGGAGGGCAUCCUCCGGUGGCCAAAGGAGCGAUCCGGUGGCGGAUGGGCAUGCGGCGCAUUAGCUAGACGGCGGGGUGACGGCCCACCGUGGCGACGAUGCGUAGGGGUUCUGAGAGGAAGGUCCCCCACAUUGGAACUGAGACACGGUCCAAACUCCUACGGAAGGCAGCAG
rnacentral:rRNA from 1 species